rnacentral:rRNA from 1 species
UGUGUGUUAGUGGAAGCGUCUGGAAAGGCGCGCGAUACAGGGUGACAGCCCCGUACACAAAAAUGCACAUGCUGUGAGCUCGAUGAGUAGGGCGGGACACGUGGUAUCCUGUCUGAAUAUGGGGGGACCAUCCUCCAAGGCUAAAUACUCCUGACUGACCGAUAGUGAACCAGUACCGUGAGGGAAAGGCGAAAAGAACCCCGGCGAGGGGAGUGAAAAAGAACCUGAAACCGUGUACGUACAAGCAGUGGGAGCCUCUUUUAUGGGGUGACUGCGUACCUUUUGUAUAAUGGGUCAGCGACUUAUAUUCUGUAGCAAGGUUAACCGAAUAGGGGAGCCGAAGGGAAACCGAGUCUUAACUGGGCGUUAAGUUGCAGGGUAUAGACCCGAAACCCGGUGAUCUAGCCAUGGGCAGGUUGAAGGUUGGGUAACACUAACUGGAGGACCGAACCGACUAAUGUUGAAAAAUUAGCGGAUGACUUGUGGCUGGGGGUGAAAGGCCAAUCAAACCGGGAGAUAGCUGGUUCUCCCCGAAAGCUAUUUAGGUAGCGCCUCGUGAAUUCAUCUCCGGGGGUAGAGCACUGUUUCGGCAAGGGGGUCAUCCCGACUUACCAACCCGAUGCAAACUGCGAAUACCGGAGAAUGUUAUCACGGGAGACACACGGCGGGUGCUAACGUCCGUCGUGAAGAGGGAAACAACCCAGACCGCCAGCUAAGGUCCCAAAGUCAUGGUUAAGUGGGAAACGAUGUGGGAAGGCCCAGACAGCCAGGAUGUUGGCUUAGAAGCAGCCAUCAUUUAAAGAAAGCGUAAUAGCUCACUGGUCGAGUCGGCCUGCGCGGAAGAUGUAACGGGGCUAAACCAUG